rnacentral:lncRNA from 1 species
GAAAACUAAACAAAACAUUGCCAAAUAUAUUUUUUUGAUUUUUGAAAACUGCAAAAAUAGAAAGACAGUGAACAAAAUAUUUGAAUGCAGAAAGACAUCCUUUAUUUAUGAUAAAAAAUGCAGGUAUUCACAUAGAUGAACCCUACAAUGAGUCAUUACGCCCUGGGCGAAACGUAAGACUUGGAUAUGCACAAAUAAACAAAGAAAAUUACUCUUCAAGAAGAGUGACUUGGAUAA